CCCCAGACUCCUACGGGAGGCAGCAGUGGGGAAUAUUGCACAAUGGGGGAAACCCUGAUGCAGCGACGCCGCGUGAGCGAUGAAGUAUUUCGGUAUGUAAAGCUCUAUCAGCAGGGAAGAAGAUGACGGUACCUGACUAAGAAGCCCCGGCUAACUACGUGCCAGCAGCCGCGGUAAUACGUAGGGGGCAAGCGUUAUCCGGAUUUACUGGGUGUAAAGGGAGCGUAGACGGCGAUGCAAGCCAGAUGUGAAAGCCCGGGGCUCAACCCCGGGACUGCAUUUGGAACUGUGUGGCUGGAGUGUCGGAGAGGCAGGCGGAAUUCCUAGUGUAGCGGUGAAAUGCGUAGAUAUUAGGAGGAACACCAGUGGCGAAGGCGGCCUGCUGGACGAUGACUGACGUUGAGGCUCGAAAGCGUGGGGAGCAAACAGGAUUAGAUACCCCAGUAUA
rnacentral:rRNA from 1 species